rnacentral:rRNA from 1 species
CAGUAGCCGCGGGAAUACGAAGGGGGCUAGCGUUGCUCGGAAUUAUUGGGCGUAAAGGGCUCGCAGGCGGUUUCUUAAGUCUGAUGUGAAAGCCCCCGGCUCAACCGGGGAGGGUCAUUGGAAACUGGGAAACUUGAGUGCAGAGGAGGAGAGUGGAAUUCCACGUGUAGCGGUGAAAUGCGUAGAGAUGUGGAGGAACACCAGUGGCGAAGGCGACUCUCUGGUCUGUAACUGACGCUGAGGAGCGAAAGCGUGGGGAGCGAACAGGAUUAGAUACCCCUGUAGUCCCUGUCUCUUAUAC